UUUCUUGUUCUCCUCCUCUAAAACCUAGGUGCGUCUUAUGGUCAGGUGCAUCUUAUGGAGCGAAAAAUAUGGAAUUUGAAAAAGUAAAAAAGACGGAUCUUGCGAUAUGUGACGUAGGGCCUGAUAAAGCGCGGACCUCCGGAGCACCCGUCCACCCUCCCUUUCCCCUCACUGCUUGCCCCGUAUGGAGAAAAUGAAGAAAUCACGGCACUGAAGAAUAUGGUUGCCUGGAAUGUAAGAAUUGUUUGUAGUGGAAAGGCCUCCUUGGAGUGGUUAUCUUGGAUGUAUCUAAGAAGUUGCAAAUAAAGGACUUCAAUUUCUUAAAG